rnacentral:rRNA from 1 species
GAUAAACGCUGGCGGCGUGCCUUAUGCAUGCAAGUCGAACGAGACCAAGGCUUCGGCCUGAAGUCUAGUGGCGCACGGGUGAGUAACACGUACGUGACCUGUCCCGACGUGGGGGAUAACCAGCCGAAAGGUUGGCUAAUACCGCAUGUGGACACCCCUUGGAAGGGGAUGUCGAAAGUAGCAAUACGCGUUGGGAGGGGCGUGCGGCCGAUUAGCUAGUUGGUGUGGUAACGGCACACCAAGGCGAUGAUCGGUAGCUGGUCUGAGAGGAUGGUCAGCCACACUGGGACUGAGACACGGCCCAGACUCCUACGGGAGGCAGCAGCAGGGAAUUUUGGACAAUGGGUGGAAGCCUGAUCCAGCAAUGCCGCGUGGAUGAAGAAGGUCUUCGGAUUGUAAAGUCCUUUCGGCGGGGACGAUGAUGACGGUACCCGCAGAAGAAGCCCGGGCUAACUUCGUGCCAGCAGCCGCCGCGGUAA